UACAGAGGGUGCAAGCGUUAAUCGGAAUUACUGGGCGUAAAGCGCACGCAGGCGGAUAAAUAAGUUGGAUGUGAAAGCCCUGGGCUUAACCUGGGAACUGCAUUCAAAACUGUUUAUCUAGAGUAUAGUAGAGGAGAGUGGAAUUUCCGGUGUAGCGGUGAAAUGCGUAGAUAUCGGAAGGAACACCAGUGGCGAAGGCG
rnacentral:rRNA from 1 species